CGGGUUGUAAAGUACUUUCAGCAGUGAGGAAGGCAGGUACGUUAAUAGCGUGCUUGUUUGACGUUAGCUGCAGAAGAAGCACCGGCUAACUCCGUGCCAGCAGCCGCGGUAAUACGGAGGGUGCGAGCGUUAAUCGGAAUUACUGGGCGUAAAGCGCAUGCAGGUGGUUUGUUAAGUCAGAUGUGAAAGACCCGGGGCGUCAACCUCGGAAUUGCAUUUGAAACUAGGCAGACUAGAGUACUGUAGAGGGGGGUAGGAAUUUCAGGUGUAGCGGUGAAAUGCGUAGAGAUCUGAAGGAAUACCGGUGGCGAAGGCGGCCCCCUGGACAGAUACUGGCACUCAGAUGCGAAAGCGUGGGGAGCAAACAGGAUUAGAUACCCUGGUAG
rnacentral:rRNA from 1 species